AUUAUGGCUUUUUAACGCUUCAGUCCGAUAACGAUUCUUGGAGUUUCUGGAGGUGCUGUUUGCAUCGGAACUAAAACGCUGCUAACAUUGCCCCUGGUUUCUAGCGCUUUUGUACCCUACGACCUAGAGAAAAACCCCUGAAUGAUUUUUACAUAGCAUUUGGGGUUUGUCGUUUUUUUUCGGGCUAUACCCCCGCCCAUGGUAUAUUUGACACAUUUCAAACACAUGGUAUUGGGUGUGUCUAAACAUUAGGAUCCUUUUGGAUCUUCUAAAAUCUCCGGGGGGCUAGCACCUAGAUGCAGGGGGUGGGUUGGUCUCGACAUCGCUGGGAUGAAUGACUUUUUAGCCCACCUAAAAAAUAGUUUUAUGAAAGGCCUUUAAGAUUAGGAGUCGUAAGACACAAUAUUAUUGUUGUGGGGGUAGGCAUCUGUUUUGCAGGCUAGUGUAAACCUUGGUUUCAAACGACCCCCCCCGGCAUAGAGCGAGAGAGAGAGAGAGAGCCUUGAGCGCAGAUGCAAGGGUAUUUUUUUUAACACACACACCCCAGCCCCCACUUUUUCUGUUUUUGAAACACACACACAGCCACUAAAGAAAACUCCCUCACGCACAUACGCGCGCACAUGGCUUUUUCCGCAAGUUUUUUCUCAGGGACAGACUGGGCUAAGAGUGAACAAACGCGAGAGUUCAUAACGUGAUCCUGGGAGCUUAUGCAACCAACCGCCAUUGUCCGUGUCGAGUUCGCCCUCAAAAGGCAAGGCUCUCUUGCUAGGUACAUCAACACUUGGUAAG